GUAAGGAAUAUUGCGCAAUGGGGGAAACCCUGACGCAGCAACGCCGCGUGGAGGAUGACACUUUUCGGAGCGUAAACUCCUUUUAUCAGGAAAGAAUAAUGACGGUACCUGAUGAAUAAGCACCGGCUAACUCCGUGCCAGCAGCCGCGGUAAUACGGGGGGUGCAAGCGUUACUCGGAAUCACUGGGCGUAAAGGACGCGUAGGCGGAUUAUCAAGUCUUUUGUGAAAUCUAGUGGCUUAACCACUAAACUGCUUAGGAAACUGAUAGUCUAGAGUAGGGGAGAGGUAGAUGGAAUUCUUGGUGUAGGGGUAAAAUCCGUAGAGAUCAAGAAGAAUACCCAUUGCGAAAGCGAUCUGCUGGAACCUAACUGACGCUGAGGCGUGAAAGCGUGGGUAGCAAACAGGAUUAGAUACCCCUGUAGUCC
rnacentral:rRNA from 1 species